rnacentral:tRNA from 2 species
GGUAGCGUGGCCGAGCGGUCUAUGUCGCUGGAUUUAGGCUCCAGUCUCUGAGGGAACGUGGGUUCGAGUCCCACCGCUGCCA